CUUGAACAUUCAGUGUCUCCUGAAAUGUCAACUUCAUCUUCCUUCUGAAAUGUAUAGUAAACAACACACAGAGAUUCUCAAGAAAAUGGUGAUGGAACCCAGAGAAUUGAAAAGUAUUUAUGAAGAAUAGCAUACUUAAUUCAAAGAAGAAAACCCUGAAAAUGAUAUGUUUGCGGGAAGAAUACUGCUAAAACAUGAAAAGGGAACUCAAAACUAAUGAGUAAG
rnacentral:lncRNA from 1 species